UGGGGAAUAUUGCACAAUGGGCGAAAGCCUGAUGCAGCAACGCCGCGUGAGCGAUGAAGGCCUUCGGGUCGUAAAGCUCUGUCCUCAAGGAAGAUAAUGACGGUACCAUAGGAGGAAGCUCCGGCUAACUACGUGCCAGCAGCCGCGGUAAUACGUAGGGAGCAAGCGUUGUCCGGAAUUACUGGGCGUAAAGGGUGCGUAGGUGGCCAUGUAAGUUAGGUGUGAAAGACCGGGGCUUAACCCCGGGGCGGCACUUAAAACUGUGUGGCUUGAGUACAGGAGAGGGAAGUGGAAUUCCUAGUGUAGCGGUGAAAUGCGUAGAUAUUAGGAGGAACACCAGUGGCGAAGGCGACUUUCUGGACUGUAACUGACGUUGAGGCACGAAAGCGUGGGGAGCAAACAGGAUUAGAUACC
rnacentral:rRNA from 1 species